UGGCCUGGAAUUUUCAUUGAUUCGUUUCUGGGUGUUUUUUUUUUAAUUCAGUAAAAAGAAUGUGACUUUAUUCUAAUUCUUUUGUUUUGAAAGCAGUGCAGUGAGUUGGGCAGGACACAAAGUUUACGCAGCUGUGUUGUUGCUGAUUAAAAGGAGGAUGUUUUCUCUUUCUUUUCAGUGAACAACAGAGGGGAGUACUGAAACAUUUGGGAAGAGGAAGCCCUCUCCUAAUAAAUGGAUGCUGACUGCAUGUUGUAAAACAGCAUUGGACUUUACUGGAAAGGUCAGCUGUCUGUCAGUCUGC
rnacentral:lncRNA from 1 species